AGUGAACGCUGGCGGUAGGCCUAACACAUGCAAGUCGAACGGCAGCACAGUAAGAGCUUGCUCUUACGGGUGGCGAGUGGCGGACGGGUGAGGAAUACAUCGGAAUCUACUUUUUCGUGGGGAUAACGUAGGGAAACUUACGCUAAUACCGCAUACGACCUACGGGUGAAAGCAGGGGAUCUUCGGACCUUGCGCGAUUGAAUGAGCCGAUGUCGGAUUAGCUAGUUGGCGGGGUAAAGGCCCACCAAGGCGACGAUCCGUAGCUGGUCUGAGAGGAUGAACCGCCCAACUGGGACUGGGACCCGGUCCCGACCCCCAGCGGGGGGCACCUGGGGGGAAAUUGGAACAGGGGGCGAAACCCUAAUCCAGCCAUGCCGGGGGGGGAAAGAAGGCUUUGGGUUUGUAAAGCCUUUUUGUUGGAAAAAAAAAACAGCAGGUUAAAACCCCGCUUUUCUGGCGGUCCCAAAAAAAGAAGGACCGCCCAACUGCGU
rnacentral:rRNA from 1 species